rfam:Candidatus Pacebacteria bacterium RIFCSPLOWO2_01_FTLL_47_12 rifcsplowo2_01_scaffold_738, whole genome shotgun sequence.
UUAUAUGUGAAUUAAAGCAGAUAGAGGAUGCCUUGGCUUGUUUGGCUGAUGAAGGACGUUAACUCCGCGAAAGUCGUCGGGUAGCUGAGAAAAAGCGCUGAUCCGGCGGUGUCCGAAUCGGGUAACCGCGUCGUAUGAAAGUACGAUGACCAUUUUCUUUAUGAAAUUGGGAGGCACCUGGGGAACUGAAAUAUCUAAGUACCCAGAGGAAAAGAAAUCGAAUGAGAUUCCCUUAGUAAGCGACGAGCGAACAGGGAAGAGCCCAAACCGAGCUUUGCUCGGGGUUGUAGGACCUCAAUAAUGGACAGUUUCAGACUAAUAGAACACCGUGGAAUAGGUGGCCAGAGGACGUGAAAGCCGUGUAUAUGAAAGUUCGAAAUUGCCAGUGAGUGUUCCUGAGUAGGUUGGGAGACGGCAAACUCCCUUCUGAAGCUGGGGUGACCACACUCCAAGGCUAAAUACCAAACAAGACCGAUAGUGAACUAGUACCGUGAGGGAAAGGUGAAAAGAAGGGCGGAAGGCCCCGUGAAAUAGAUCCUGAAACUAUCUGCUAACAAUCAGAGAGAGCUCCAAUUUAUUGGGGUGAUCUCGUGCCUAUUGAAGAAUGAGCCGGCGAGUAUUCGUACGCUGCAGGUUAACUCUUUUGCAAGAGGGAGCCACAGUGAAAGCGAGCCUGAAUAGGGCGACCAAUUGUAGCGUAUGAAUGACCCGAAACCGGGUGAGCUAUCCAUGACCAGGGUGAAGUCUCGUUAAACCGAGAUGGAGGCCCGCACCGAUGUAUGCUGCAAGAUGCUCGGAUGAGUUGUGGUUAGAGGUAAUAUGCCAAUCGAACCCGGAGAUAGCUGGUUCUCCCUGAAAUAUAUUUAGGUAUAGGGUUGUGUGAAUCGACGAGGGGGUAGAGCACUGAUCGGGUACUUCAGGAGUAAUCUUGGGUAUCUAAUCAAACUUCGAAUACCUUGUCGUACUGCACAGCACUCAGCACCUGGGAGCUAAGUUCCAGGUGCAAAAGGAAAACAGUCCAGAUCGACAGCUAAGGUCUCAAAAUGCAUGUUUAGUGGGAAAGGAAGUGUAUUUCCUCAGACACCUAGGAGGUCGGCUCAGAAGCAGCCAUCCUUUAAAGAAAGCGUAACAGCUCACUAGCCGUAGGAAGUAUGCGCCUAAAAUCCAACGAGGCUGAAACAUGCUACCGAAGCUUCGGAUUUUUCCACCUUUGGUGGGAAAGUGGUAAGGGAGCGUUCUGUGUACAUUGAAGGUAUCCCGUAAGGAGAUACUGGAGUGAUCAGAAGUGAGAAUGCCGGCAUGAGUAGCGAAAUUGCAGUGAGAAUCUGCAACUCCGAAUGACCAAGGUUUCCGCACCCACGUUCGUCGUGUGCGGGUUAGGCGACCCUAAGGUGAGUCCAGUUAAUCUGGAGUAGCCGAUGGAUUACCGGUUAAUAUUCCGGUCCUUGGUAUGUAUCAUUCGACUUGGGGAGGGACGGUACUGGAUAGUGUGCGUCCCGCUGUGAAGGCGGGAUCAAAGCAGUGAAGCAGUCUGAAUAGGCAAAUCCGUUCAGGCGUUUAUCUGAGCUGUAAUAGGCACUCAAACCUUCGGGCGAGAGUGUGCGCAUAAGUUUGGUAUCCUGGAAAAGCUUCGCAAGGAGAUACAUAUCAAAUCGUACCGACAACCGACACAGGUGGUUAGGUCGAGCAGACCAAGGAGAGCGAGAGAAGGUAGUUUAAGGAAUUCGGCAAAACAGCUGGGCGUAAUCUAGAGAGAUGCCCUCCCCGCCUCUGGCGGGGCGCAGUGAAUGAAGUGGGAUGGACUGUUUACCAAAAACACAGGUCCGUGCAAACUCGUAAGAGGAAGUAUACGGGCUGAAGCCUGACCGGUGCCAGAAGGUUAACUGCGUGGGUUUUUUCCACUUCGGUGGAACGAGCCUGCAAUGGAAGCCCUGGUGAACGUCAGCAAUAACUAUAAUUGUUCUAAGGUAGCGAAGUUCCUUGUCGCUUAAUUGGCGACCCGCACGAAAGGUAUAACCAGUCUCACACUGUAUUAAACUAUUACUCGGCGAAAUUGAAAUGGCUGUGAAGAUGCGGCCUACUGGCGGCAGGACAAAAAGACCCCAUAGAGCUUUACUAUAACCUGGCACUGAAACUAUGUACGGAAUUGUUUAGCAUAGGUGGGAGAAUCCUUCAUUUAUGGAGGGUUCACCAGUGAAAUACCACCCGUUUUAUACAUAUUUUCUUACCCAAUCUGUCUGCAAACGGCAGAGGGGACACUGUUUGGUAGGUAGUUUAACUGGGGAGGUUGCUUGCUAAAGAGUAACGCAAGCGCGCAAUGGUACCCUUAGCCUGGAUAGAAAUCAGGCUGGACGUGCAAUGGCAAAUGGGUGCCUAACUGUGAGACAUACAGGUCAAGCAGAUGCGAAAGCAGGUCAUAGUGAUCCUCGUGUGUUUUGUGGAAGACACCGGGCUUAUCGGAUAAAAGCUACCUUGGGGAUAACAGAGUCAUCGCACCUAAGCGUUCCUAGCGUCGGUGCGGUUUGCUACCUUUAUUUACAUUGGGGUCCCUUGCGAGUAAUUGCAAGGUGCUGGUCUAAGGACACACACUCAAGUGUGGAACUUAGAAAAACAUGAGCUCAUAACGGUGAACUCUGAAGUGUACUACGCUACAUGUCAUGUAGCAGGUAUACCAUGACAACACCGUGGGAAGUCUAACGGGAAAACUAUUUCCGUUAUGACCCCGUAUCGACUCAAAGUUUCGGGACAAAACUUUGGAUGGUUUACGUCUGUGAACCAUAACACGCUCACAUCCUCUUACGUGAGAGGAUGAAGGUAUAGUCAGACUCAUUACGAAAGUUUUGAGAGUUUCGCGAUGUCGGCUCAUCGCAUCCUGGGGCUGUAGAAGGUCCCAAGGGUUAGUCUGUUCGCCUAUUAAAGCGGUACGCGAGCUGGGUUCAGACCGUCGUGAGACAGGUCGGCCUCUAUCCGCCGUCAGCGUUAGAUGAUUGAGAGAUUUUGCCCCUAGUACGAGAGGACCGGGGUGAGGAAAUCCCUAGUGUUCCUGUUGUCGCUGUCAAGCGCACUGCAGGGUAGCUACAUUUUUUUUGGAUAACCGCUGAAAGCAUCUAAGCGGGAAGCCAUUCUCAAGAUUAAUCAUCUCCAUUAGACCCGUGGGAGACUACCACGUUGAUAGGCCGUCGGUGUAAGCCUGGUAACAGGUUCAGCCUAACGGUACUAAGUGUCAAUUGAACAUAUAAGC